rnacentral:tRNA from 1 species
GCGCCUUUAGCUCAGCGGAUAGAGCGCAUCGCUUCGGACGAUGAGGUCGGGGGUUCAAAUCCCUCAAGGCGCG